GUCAGUGUGGCCUGCAGGGAGUUACACGGUAAUCCCGUAAAUAAGCUUGCUUUAUGUGAUCCAUAUCCAGUAAUGGCAAGUGUGCUUCUGGUGAUUCUGGUAAUUAUGCCAGGUGUUUGGAGUGGAGAUUGGAAGGUGACCUUCAAUAACCAAUGUGGUUUCAGAGGAGCAUCAGCAGUUAUUAAAUGCUCUUAUGACUAUCCUUUGCUUCAAAUUGUCACCUCAGUCUUCUGGUUUAGA